rnacentral:tRNA from 1 species
GCAGGGAUGGCAGAGUGGUCAAUUGCAUUUGGCUGUAAACCAAACGACUUUAGUCUACGCAGGUUCGAAUCCUGCUCCCUGCA